rfam:Aedes albopictus isolate Foshan contig82564, whole genome shotgun sequence.
UAGCCUAGUGAUUAAGGCUAUGGAUUGCCAAUCCGGAGACGGCGGGUUCGAUUUCCGU